AUCACGUCUUUGUGUGGAGGUUUCUGACAAAAUAUCAAAUCACCCAGGUGACUCAGCCCCUGUACAGCUCAUAUUUGGCACACUGAAACUUCUGGCUCUUCCACAAAGUAAAAUCGCCUUUGAAAGGGAAGAGAUUUCAGACCAUCAGUGAGAUACAGGAAAAUAUGAUGGGGCCAGCUGAUGGUGAUAGUGAGAACUGUGUGAGUUCCCAAAGCACCUACUUUGA